rnacentral:tRNA from 1 species
GCUGGGGUCUCCUAGCCUGGNAGGGAGCGGGCUUGCUAAGCCCGUGGUCCAUGUGGCCGCGCGGGUUCAAAUCCCGCCCCCAGCG